AUGGAGAGCGUGGAUUCGCCGUCCCCGAGGUGCCAUGCUCAGCAUCAACAGAAUGCCGGCGGACCGAAGGAUUAUAACAGCACCAGUAAAAGGCAGCCGCACAGCACUGAGAUUCCAUGCUCUUUGGUACAAGAGGUCCAACACCUCGAGAAGCGACUAAAUGAUCAGUUUGCCAUGCGGCGUGCUCUAGAGAAAGCAUUAGGUCACAAGCCCUGUGCCAUCAAUUUAUCGAGAGACUGCUACCUUCCAAAGCCUACUGAGAAGCUCAUAAAGGAGAUUGCGGUACUGGAGCUAGAAGUCAUAUGCUUGGAGCAGCAUCUCCUGACACUCUACCGUCAGGCGUUUGACCAACAAUUGUGCAGCACGGUUUCUGCUUGUGACUUGGAGGGGAGAAGCAGGCAAUCAGCAAGGUCGUUUUCAGGCACACUCUCUGAAACUUCGGCGCACGAUUUCUCAACCCCAAAGAAGCACCAAUUGGUGCAGUCCAGCCGCAUCGUUCAGGCACGCAGAUCGACAACGGCAGCGCUUAAUAGUGAGCCCGGCAUUUCACGGCACAAUGAUAGCAAGACCGUUAUCGGGCGCAGUCAUUCCUCGCUCCUGCCGCGUUCCAUCUGCUCGGCUAGAGUAUCUCCUUCAGCGAACAAUCUUGCUAGAGCUCUUAAACCAUGUCAUACCUCGCCUCUAACAUUCGUUGAGGAGGGCAAGUGCAUGGAUUCCAGUAUUGUAAGCUUAGCAGAUAUCCUGGGUACCAGGAUUGCAGAUCAUGUUCCUCAAACACCUAACAAGAUAUCCGAGGACAUGAUCAAAUGCAUUGCCGGCAUAUACAUCAGGAUCAGAGAUGUCAGUGCCGUGCAACGCGCCUUCUUCCCCUCACCAUGCUCGUCCUUUUCAUCGGCGAGUGGGAUAUCUUCCAAAUUUACUGGGGACAUAUGGAGCCCCAGAUGCAGGAAAGAGAGCUUCAUCGAGGCAUGGCAGGACAGUUCAUUCAGUUCAGGUGAUUUGGGCCAGCAAUGUGAUUCUGUAAUUGAGGUGUCUGCUCUGUGCAAGGGGGCUCAGAGGUCUGCCGAUGUGAAAGACAUGUUGUGUAAAUACAAAUCACUUGUUCAGCUGCUAGAAACGGUCGAUCUCGGUGGAAUGAAGAACGAAGAAAAACUCGCUUUCUGGAUCAAUGUGCACAAUGCCAUGAUGAUGCAUGCCCAUAUUGAAUACAGGAUCCCGCAGAGUAACAGCAAGAGAAUGCUGCUUACUAAGGUAUCCUACAUCAUCAGUGGGCAGAGAGUGAACGCGGAGUUGAUAGAGUACCAGAUCUUGUGCUGCCGGGUGCACUCUUCUGGACAGUGGUUCAGGCUGCUCCUGUACCCGAGAUGGAAGCCCAGAGACAAGGAUGAGCUGCAGGGGUUCGCCGUCGACCGGCCCGAGCCUCUGGUGCACUUCGCGCUCUCCUCCGGAAGCCACUCGGAUCCAGUGGUGCGGCUGUACAGCCCGAAGCGGCUGUUCCAACAGCUGGAGGCGGCCAAGGAGGAGUUCAUCCGGGGCAACGUGGGCGUGCGCGGGUCGGGGCGCGGCAGGAGCAGGGUGAUCCUACCCAAGGUGCUGGAGUCGUACGCGAGGGACGCCGGGCUGGCCGCGCAGGAGCUGCUGCGCGUGGUGGAGCCGUGCCUCCCGGAGGGCCUCCGGGCGGCGGUGCGGCAGCAGGGGAGGCCGCGCGGCGGCGGCGGCGGCGUGGAGUGGAGGCCCCACAACAUGACCUUCAGGUACGCGCUGGCGCGGGAGCUGGUGCCGGUGGGGUCCCCCGCCGGCGUGCAACAGGCGGUGACGCCUUCGGUUGCACGAUCCCAUGAGCCAUGA
rnacentral:rRNA from 1 species